AUUGAACGCUGGCGGCAUGCCUUACACAUGCAAGUCGAACGGCAGCGCGGGAGCAAUCCUGGCGGCGAGUGGCGAACGGGUGAGUAAUAUAUCGGAACGUGCCCAGUAGUGGGGGAUAGCCCGGCGAAAGCCGGAUUAAUACCGCACACGACCUACGGGUGAAAGGGGGGGAUCGCAAGACCUCUCGCUAUUGGAGCGGCCGAUAUCAGAUUAGGUAGUUGGUGGGGUAAAGGCCUACCAAGCCUGCGAUCUGUAGUUGGUCUGAGAGGACGACCAGCCACACUGGGACUGAGACACGGCCCAGACUCCUACGGGAGGCAGCAGUGGGGAAUUUUGGACAAUGGGCGCAAGCCUGAUCCAGCGAUGCCGCGUGCAGGAAGAAGGCCUUCGGGUUGUAAACUGCUUUUGUCAGGGAAGAAAUCCUCUAGGCUAAUACCUUGGGGGGAUGACGGUACCUGAAGAAUAAGCACCGGCUAACUACGUGCCAGCCGCCGCCGUAAUAC
rnacentral:rRNA from 1 species